AUUGAACGCUGGCGGCAGGCCUAACACAUGCAAGUCGAGCGGACGACGGGAGCUUGCUCCUUGAUUCAGCGGCGGACGGGUGAGUAAUGCCUAGGAAUCUGCCUGGUAGUGGGGGACAACGUUUCGAAAGGAACGCUAAUACCGCAUACGUCCUACGGGAGAAAGCAGGGGACCUUCGGGCCUUGCGCUAUCAGAUGAGCCUAGGUCGGAUUAGCUAGUAGGUGAGGUAAUGGCUCACCUAGGCGACGAUCCGUAACUGGUCUGAGAGGAUGCUCGGUCACACUGGAACUGAGAGACGGUCCAGACUCCGACGGGAGGCAGCAGUGGGGAAUAUUGGACAAUGGGAGAAAGCCUGAUCCAGCCAUGCCGCGUGUGUGAAGAAGGUCUUCGGAUUGUAAAGCACUUUAAGUUGGGAGGAAGGGCAGUAAGCUAAUACCUUGCUGUUUUGGCGUUACCGACAGAAUAAGCACCGGCUAACUCUGUGCCAGCCGCCGCAGUAAUAC
rnacentral:rRNA from 1 species